rnacentral:rRNA from 1 species
AGGCAGACGGCUCAGUAACACGUAGUCGACCUACCCUAUGGACAAGAAUAAUCUCGGGAAACUGGGCAUAAUUCUUGAUAGAUCAUAAUGCCUGGAAUGGUUUAUGGUUAAAAUGAUUCGUCGCCAUAGGAUGGGACUGCGGCCUAUCAGCUUGUUGGUGAGGUAAUGGCCCACCAAGGCGAUUACAGGUACGGGCUCUGAGAGGAGAAGCCCGGAGAUGGGUACUGAGACACGGACCCAGGCCCUAUGGGGCGCAGCAGGCGAGAAAACUUUGCAAUGUGCGAAAGCACGACAAGGUUAAUCCGAGUGAUUUCUGCUAAAGAAAUCUUUUGCCAGUCAUAAAACCACUGGUGAAUAAGGGGUGGGCAAGUUCUGGUGUCAGCCGCCGCGGUAAAACCAGCACCUCAAGUGGUCAGGAUGAUUAUUGGGCCUAAAGCAUCCGUAGCCGGCUUUGUAAGUUUUCGGUUAAAUCCAUGUGCUCAACGCAUGGGCUGCCGAAAAUACUGCAUGGCUAGGGAGUGGGAGAGGUAGACGGUACUCAGUAGGAAGGGGUAAAAUCCUUUGAUCUAUUGAUGACCACCUGUGGCGAAGGCGGUCUACCA